rfam:Medicago truncatula strain A17 chromosome 7, whole genome shotgun sequence.
ACGACCUUACUUGAACAGGAUCUGUUCUAUAGGAUGGUACUACUGUGUCUAUGAUUCCUAUAGGAUGAUGAAAGACAACCGUGCGAUCAGAGCGUGAUUAACGGCUGAGAUGAUUCUUCUCAUGUUGAGACAUCAUCAUCUUGUGCUGUAGAUGAUCGUUCUCAGACACACGCUGUCUGGGGUGGUUGCAUGGUGUUCUUACAGACU